rnacentral:lncRNA from 1 species
GGCUCAAGCUCACACACCACACACACCCUCACUCACACUCAAACACAGUGAAUAGGGCGGUUGUGAGGACCGAAAACACUGUGAAGUAGAGGCAGUCGUGCUGCUGUGGACAGUGUGUUGCUCACCAGAGCCUCCAGAGACCCGACUGGACUCCUCUGCAGGUAUGACAGAAAAAUGUCCUGAAAGAGGUCAGUCCUUCCAGGCUGUGGAAGAAGAGGGCCUUUGAUUUGACUGUUUGUCUGCGGCUGGCCGUGAUGGAGUGGAGAGCUUUCAGAUCUCUCAGCCCGUCCUGAGGAGGCAAGACUAAUAAAGCAGUGAAAGGUCAGACGUGAUUGAUGCUC